rnacentral:rRNA from 1 species
UACGUAGGGUGCAAGCGUUGUCCGGAAUUAUUGGGCGUAAAGAGCUCGUAGGCGGUUUGUCGCGUCUGCUGUGAAAAUCCAGGGCUUAACCCUGGACCUGCAGUGGGUACGGGCAGACUGGAGUGCGGUAGGGGAGAUCGGAAUUCCUGGUGUAGCGGUGAAAUGCGCAGAUAUCAAGAGGAACACCUGCGGCGAAGGCGGGUUGCUGGGCCGACACUGACGCUGAGGCGCGAAAGCUAGGGGAGCGAACGGG